rnacentral:rRNA from 1 species
UACGGAGGGGGCUAGCGCUGUUCGGAAUUACUGGGCGUAAAGCGCACGUAGGCGGACUGUUAAGUCGGGGGUGAAAUCCCGGGGCUCAACCCCGGAAUGGCCUUCGAUACUGGCGGUCUUGAGGUCUGGAGAGGUGAGUGGAAUUCCGAGUGUAGAGGUGAAAUUCGUAGAUAAUCGGAGGAACACCAGUGGCGAAGGCGGCUCACUGGCCAGAUACUGACGCUGAGGUGCGAAAGCGUGGGGAGUAAACAGG